UGUAUUUAAUAUAGAAAUAUGAAAUGCCAAGUCCUAUGGUUUACCUUCUCGUGGUGCAUUUCGUUAAAUAAGUUACAAAAGUUUUACACUUUGUAAUUUAUAAACUAAAAACCAAGGCAAUAUUUUUAGAAGUUAUUUAAGGGAAAUAUAUAACCCCAUGCGUUUUUACUUAAUGUGCAAAAUUAUCUGAAUUAAUUUAUAAACGAAGUAUUUACUAAACGCAACCUAAUGGAAGUAUACAAUCUAUAAUUUGUGAUCGAUAGUAGAUGGUAAAUUAAUGUUACACGCUCUAAGCAAGUAUUACAGACCAUCGUUUAGCAAAGCAAUUUUAAAACAACCAAUUUAACUAGAGUUUAGAAGAACAACGAGUGAUUUAAGGAACUUAAUGAAGGAGAACGCUCCGAAGCAGAAAUAGAUCUUAUUUAUUUUAUCAUUAUUUGAUAGGUGAAAGCGGAGCAACAUGGCGAACGUUUUGAAAGCCCUGAUUUACUGCAAAACUA